rnacentral:rRNA from 1 species
UACCAGCACCCCGAGUGGUCGGGACGAUUAUUGGGCCUAAAGCAUCCGUAGCCGGCCUUACAAGUCCCCCGUUAAAUCCAACUGCUUAACAGAUGGGCUGCGGAGGAUACUAUAAGACUAGGAGGCAGGAGAGGCAAGCGGUACUCAGUGGGUAGGGGUAAAAUCCGUUGAUCCAUUGAAGACCACCAGUGGCGAAGGCGGCUUACUGGUCCGGAACUGACGCUGAGGUGCGAAAGCGUGGGGAGCAAACAGG